rnacentral:rRNA from 1 species
CACGUAAGGGGCGAGCGUUGUUCGGAAUUAUUGGGCGUAAAGGGCACGCAGGCGGUUAUACAAGUCCGAUGUUAAAGACCUGGGCUUAACUCAGGGGAUGCGUUGGAAACUGUAUGACUAGAAUCUUGGAGGGGGAGUCGGAAUUCCUAGUGUAGGGGUGAAAUCUGUUGAUAUUAGGAAGAACACCGGUGGCGAAGGCGGACUCCUGGCUGAAUACUGACGCUGAGGUGCGAAAGCAUAGGGAGCAAACGGG